rnacentral:misc_RNA from 1 species
UUUCCGUAGGUGAACCUGCGGAAGGAUCAUUACAAAUCUCUGUUGGUGUGUGGUGGUAUGGGGGCUAGUUCUAUUAGGCAAUUUGCUUGGUAGGCUGGCUUAACCAUCCACUACACCCGACAACAUUAGCACGAGGCUGCAAGGCCUUGAUGUUUACGCUUGUUUGUUUGACAGAUUUACUGAGACUAAAAUAUAGACAACUUUUAACAAUGGAUCUCUUGGCUCUU